GCGGACGUGGUGCGCGGUGCACACAACUGCGAUUCAUACGGCAACCAGUUGUAGAUCGCAGCAGUUGAUGGGGUUCGAUUCCCCACGUCUGCA